AUGUGGGAGGAGUAGCGAAAAUACAGUCUUGCGGUUUUCGCGAUUUAGUGAAAAAUAUUCAUAGACACAAAUGGGCGUGGCCUAGGCCAAAAGAUGCAGCAGACUCCAGUGCAUCUGUGUGUACAAGUUUUUGGACUCUGGGAGGUUCGGUGUGGGAGUUAUAGCCCCAAACGCGUAUUCCUUGGUAUAGCGCCACCUAGUGACCGGCGUGUCUGGAUUUUGUCGUCUGCUGAGUCCGAACAGAUCUGGAUCUAGUCAUGCAAUUCGCGUGUCGGCACCAUUUACGGUUUGGGCUGUAGUACCACUUUCAGGGGGGUAAGAAUAAUAAUAGGAAUAAUAAUCCUUACAAAAACAAUAGGGAUCCAACCUGUUGGCUUGGACCCCUAAUGAAAGAGAGAAGAAAAGGGCUAUGAAAGCUGCAAAUCAAAACAACCAAGAAGAAAACGACUAAGAGAGUGACUUUCCGAUUCCACUUAGUGAUGCCGUUCAUUAUGAGAGUUCAGAUGUCCAGAGUGAUGAAGAUGAUGGCGACAAGGACCUAUCUGCUGGUGACUUUGUCAUUGUGAAGUUUGCAGGUGAAAAAUCUUCAACUAUGUUGGAUUGGUGGAGAAUUUUGAAGGUGACAAGAUCAGUGCAAAGUUUCUGAGGCAAAGUUGUAAGAGGUCUGUUGAAGGAAAGCCCAUCUUCACAUUUAGAGAGAAUGCAAUCAUUUACAUUCCCCUGCAGCAUUGACACGUGGGAUGUUCAGUAGUAGGCCGAAUCUGGGAAGAGAUUCAGGUGCAGAUGAUUAGGUGCUCAUUUUGGAAUUUUGAUUUUGUUCUGAGUAGCCUAUGUAUUCAUGUUGCGCUAGGCCUUGUUUGAGCAAAUUGGCCUUUGAUGUCGUAAAGAAUCUUUAUGUAAACCACCCACACCACAAAACUUAGUGGUACAGCCAGAAAGGAGCCGAAGUUCAUAUUUCCCUGCUGCAUUGACAAGUAGGAUGUUAAGUUGUAAGCCUACGAGGCUGGAUCUGUGAAGUGUAAGACUCAAUUAGGUGUUCAUGUGACGGUAUAGGCCUUGUUAUAGAAAAGUGGCCUUUGAUGUUAAAAGUUUAAAUAAAAGUUAAACAAGUAA